rnacentral:rRNA from 1 species
AUACGGAGGGUCCGAGCGUUAUCCGGAAUUAUUGGGUUUAAAGGGUCCGUAGGCGGUUUUGUAAGUCAGUGGUGAAAUCUCCUAGCUUAACUAGGAAAUUGCCGUUGAUACUGUGAGACUUGAAUCAUUAGGAAGUAACUAGAAUAUGUAGUGUAGCGGUGAAAUGCUUAGAGAUUACAUGGAAUACCAAUUGCGAAGGCAGGUUACUACUAGUGUAUUGACGCUGAUGGACGAAAGCGUGGGUAGC